CAAUCUCUCUGUAGAUCUCUUGUUUGGUUUUUGCAACUACAUGCCACUUUGUCCCCACCUGGCUCUUUCCUGACAUCCAGAGAAAACAGAAGGCUGAUCUCCUCCAUGUCCCUCUGCGGGCAGGACCAAGCUGUGUGGUGGGCUGUUCUCUGAUCUGCCUGUCUCAUCAGAUUACUGGUGGCGGAGUGAUAUAUCUGGAGCCCCCGGCAGGCACUUCAAUGGAGCGCCACACGCAGGACCCAGUUUUCUGGGGAGCUGCCUGGACUGUUUCCGCUCUGCUGUGUGGAAAACGAGAGGCAGUGUGCGUGUGGAAAGUGGAGGGUCUGGGUGAUCAGAGAGGCUAAGAGGGGCUGGUGGCUUACUCAGGACUCUGGGGAAGAAGGGGGGGUUAAUUGUGCACAGGUGACUCUGUGCAGGUGCUUCAGCACACCAGAUGCUGCCCUGGCAUGCACAGACUCAGACUGAUGGAGGGGAGAAGAGAGACAAUUUGUGUGUGUGAGAGAGAGAAAAUAAGACAGUGAUAGAGACCCAGCUGAAAAAACAGCAUAGAUUCUAUACAUUUCAGGCUGGUCCAUGCCGGUCUAUGCUGGUCAAGGUGGUCGGAUGCUGGUCAGGCUGGUCGGAUGCUGGUCAAACAAGUCCAUGCUGGUCAGAUGCUGGUCAGGCUGGUCGGAUACUGGUCCAUGCUGGUCGGAUGCUGGUCAGGCUGGUCGGAUGCUGGUCAAACAAGUCCAUGCUGGUCAGAUGCUGGUCAGGCUGGUCAGAUGCUGGUCAGGCUGGUCGGAUGCUGGUCAAGCUGGGCGGAUGCUGGUCAAGCUGGUCGGAUGCUGGUCAAGUUAGUCCAUGCUGGUCGGAUGCUGGUCAAGUUAGUCCAUGCUGGUCGGAUGCUGGUCAAGCUAGUCCAUGCUGGUCGGAUGCUGGUCAAGCUAGUCCAUGCUGGUCAAGCUAGUCCAUGCUGGUCAAGCUAGUCCAUGCUGGUCGGAUGCUGGUCAAGCUAGUCCAUGCUGGUCAAGCUAGUCCAUGCUGGUCGGAUGCUGGUCGGAUGCUGGUCGGAUGCUGGUCAGAUGUCACCCUAUUCCCUUUUGUUUUUCACUCAAUUGUUCAUAGACAAACAAAUAAAUGUGAUAUUCUGAGUCCAUGUUAAAGCAUCAAUCACAUUAGAAUAACUUUUUUUUAAAGCCUUGAAGAAAACAACUGUACAUUUUUUGUAACUCCCCUUUAAUUGCACAUCUGGCCCUUUUAAUUGCGCAUCUAGUGAGUGAGGAACGUGCCAUCUAAUGUGCUGUCUAAUGUGUCGGUCUAGUGAUGGUUCUGUACUGCUGCUACUGCUGCUACUCAUUUCAAGUUGAAGUUUGCAAAUAACAAAUAAUAGAUACACAUGAUAUACUCACUCAUAAUAUACUUCUUCCAGGUAAGCCUACUUUAAAGGAAACAUUUAAUUGAGUAGGUUUUGGGGAAAAUAUUUCUGUCAGCUCACAAGAAGCUCAUCACAUCAACUGGCUACACACGGAGUGAUGGACAAACGUGAACAGCACAGAGACAUACGGGGGCAAUAUUGCUGGAAAUGAAUUGGAAGAUAUUGCGUUAUGUUUGGCUUUUUAAGCCAAUGGUGGCUAACCAGGGGUGGGACAAUGUUACCUUGAUUAGAUAGUAGCUGGGAGCUUGCUGUGUCUGAUACUUGUGAGAUUUGAUUAUGACAGCUUAGGGUGGAACAUGUGAAAUGAAUUGUGAAAUGAAUUGUCCAGCUGGUUAUGCUGGCAGACCAGCCUUUAUUGUGCUAGUGACCAGCCUUCAAAAGUACAACAAAGGCUGUUCAUGAAGGCUGGUCACCAGUGAAAGCACAAAGAAAGCUGGUCACCAGCCUAUGCUGGUAUGUGCUGUCUUUUUCAGCAGGGGAGAAUGAUAGCAAAACAUAAAUGUCUUUCUGUCUGUUUUAAAAUCAACCACAUGCAGUCAAGCUCAUUGAACAAACAUUGAUCUUGUUUUCUCUGUUCGUGCUGCUAUUGAUAUUGAGCUGAAUGUUCUCUGACAGUGGUGGUCUGUCUCUGUCUGUCUGGACAGAACAUGGCUACAUCCCAAAUAGCAUCCUAUUCCCUACAUAGUGCACAACUUUAGAGCAGGGCCCAUAGGUCUUUGAUGAAAAUAAGUGCACUAUGAAGGGAAUAAGGUUUAGGACACAAGCCCAUAACACACAGUAGAUGUUACUCUUUAAUUUUACUCUUGCUUUGUUAACCUCUCUCUCCUUCACAGAGUUAGACAAGAACAUGAAGAAUGCAUUCCAAAUGGCACCCUAUUCGCUAUAUAGUGCACUAUGUAGGGAAUCGGGUGCUAUUUGGGAUUCAGUCUCUGUUUA